UCGGUGACCUUUGGCAGUUAAGGAGAGAAGAAUGGAGCCUAAGACCUGAGUGCCCCUGGAGUGACAAACAGUGGGAAGUCUGACUCCGUACCAUGUACAGUGCUUCAAGCCUGGAAAAUCAUAUACAAUAUGCUGGGGAUGGAAGUCAGAGCUUGCACUUUGCCACUGAGUUAUACCUCAGCCGUGGAGCUGAUUUUUAUACCAUCAGAUCGGCAAGAAUUAUUGCACGGGCAGCACCCAGCGCCACAUAUUAGGACAUUAACGGGGCUCACACAGGACAGAGGUAACAGGAACCGGUUUACCACCUGGCCAGCAAGCUGCCUCUACCUUAUGGAGUUGGUACCCAAGGCCCCAAGGCCCCACGAUGCCACUCUUGGCCACAGGCCCUGGAGAUGCUCUUGUAGAAAUAAACCUGGGACAAGUACGUU